GAACAGCCGAUCAGCAGCUAGCCGAGAGAUUUCCAGUUCACUGUGGCUAACAUUAUGAAUCACUGUUGGUAUACAGCAGGUAUUUUGCUGAAAACAGAUGCCUGCUGUGACUGGAAACUAUGGUAUGAGAGCAAUGGGAGUGACCCAAACAGUUCAAGUUGACCAGACAACCACAACAAAUCAAACUCAAAGAUGCCCUAAAGCACUGAGGAGAACUGCAGAGUAGGGAAGUGACGCUGAGCAGCCAGCCAUCUGUCGGCAGAUUAAUCCUGCCUGUGCUUAGAGAUAUUACCGGCUGGCUUAUCGCCGUGGCAACAAGCCUUCAAUCCCAGUCCAGCGUAGCCACCAUGUGACCUUGCUG